rnacentral:rRNA from 1 species
CGAGUCCGAGGAGCUAAGGCUCCAAAGUGAUGCGAGUCAGACUUCCCAGAAAAGCCCGAACCACGUUAAUUUCUAAUUACCUGUACCCGAAACCGACACAGGUGGGUAGGUAGAGUAUACUAAGGGGCGCGAGAUAACUCUCUCUAAGGAACUCGGCAAAAUGACUCCGUAACUUCGGGAGAAGGAGUGCCUUAUUUAUAAGGUUGCAAUAACAAGAUCCAAGCAACUGUUAUCAAAAACACAGGUCUCCGCUAAGUCGUAAGACGAUGUAUGGGGGCUGACGCCUGCCCAGUGCCAGAAGGUUAAAGAAGUUGGUUAGUGUAUGCGAAGCUGAUGACUGAAGCCCUGGUGAACGGCGGCCGUAACCAUAACGGUCCUAAGGUAGCGAAAUUCCUUGUCAGGUAAGUUCCGACCCGCACGAAAGGCGUAAUGAUUUGGAUACUGUCUCGGAGAGAGGCUCGGUGAAAUAGACUUGUCUGUGAAGAUGCGGACUACCUGCACCAGGACAGAAAGACCCUAUGAAGCUUUACUGUAACUUGAAAUUGGAAUUGGACUUUGCUUGCGCAGUAUAGGUGGGAAGCGUUGAAGAUAUUCUUGCGGGAGUAUUGGAGCUAUCAGUGAGAUACCACUCUUGUAAUGUUAGAUUUCUAACUUUGAACCAUAAUCUGGUCAAAGAACAGUUUCAGGUGGGCAGUUUGACUGGGGCGGUCGCCUCCCAAAUGGUAACGGAGGCGUACAAAGGUUUCCUCUGAACGGAUAGAAAUCGUAUCUAGAGUGUAAAGGCAUAAGGAAGCUUGACUGUGAGACCUACAAGUCGAGCAGGGACGAAAGUCGGUCUUAGUGAUCUGACGGUACUGAGUGGAAAGGCCGUCACUCAACGGAUAAAAGUUACUCUAGGGAUAACAGGCUGAUCUCCCCCAAGAGUUCACAUCGACGGGGAGGUUUGGCACCUCGAUGUCGGCUCAUCGCAUCCUGGGGCGGUAGUACGUCCCAAGGGUUGGGCUGUUCGCCCAUGAAAGCGGUACGCGAGCUGGGUUCAGAACGUCGUGAGACAGUUCGGUCCAUAUCCGGUGUAGGCGUUAGAAUAUUGAGAGGAGCCUUCUUUAGUACGAGAGGACCGAGAAGGACACACCGCUGGUGUACCAGUUAUCGUGCCAACGGUAAACGCUGGGUAGCUAUGUGUGGAGUGGAUAACCGCUGAAAGCAUCUAAGUGGGAAGCCCACCUCAAGAUGAG